GAGGCUUUCAGGUUGAUUGUGGGCGCCGUGGUGAGGACUUCUGACGGCGCACAUGUGUGCUGGGGUUUUCAAAGUAAAGGAAACCUUGAUUUCAAAAUUUUGAAGCAAAAUGCGAAAACAUGAUGCGGAAAACCGGGUGUUCAUCAAUGAAAACCUCACCAAGCUGUCCAGAGUCAUCCGAGCGGAAGCGUUGAAGCUGAAGAAGUCCGGUAGCGUUGUCCAGGUGUACACCAGAAAUGGAGCAGUCUUUGUGAAGCGGCGUGGUGCGACUGAAGCUGAACAAGUGCGAAGCAUCGAUCAACUUCUUCCUGCUGAAAAGUAAAUCCUUUUCCCUAACGAUCUUCUUCUUCCUUUUCUCUAUUUUCCUUGGUUCCACUCCUGAUUUUCCUUUGAUUCCGUCCCCUCCUAAAAGCAAAAAAAAAAAA